rnacentral:rRNA from 1 species
GACGAACGCUGGCGGCGUGCCUAAUACAUGCAAGUCGAACGCAGUGGGGACGGGUGAGUAACACGUGGGUAACCUCCCAUCAGAGGGGAUAACACUUGGAAACAGGUGCUAAACCGAUACUGAUGGAUGAACCCGCGGUGCAUUAGCUAGUUGGUGAGGUAACGGCUCACCAAGGCCACGAUGCAUAGCCGACCUGAGAGGGGGAUCGGCCACACUGGGACUGAGACACGGCCCAGACUCCUACGGGAGGCAGCAGUAGGGAAUAUUCGGCAAUGGACGAAAGUCUGAUGGAGCAAUGCCGCGUGAGUGAAGAAGGCUGUAGGAUUGUAAAAUUCUGUUGUUAGAGAAGCGUUACCGACCGAGAAAGCAACGGCUAACUACGUGCCAGCAGCCGCGGUAAUUC